UACGUAGGGGGCGAGCGUUGUCCGGAGUUACUGGGCGUAAAGCGCACGCAGGCGGUCGUGUCAGUUUGGGGUUACAGCUCCCGGCUCAACCGGGAGAGCGCCUCGAAGACGGCAGGACUUGAGGGCCAGAGAGGGACACAGAAUUCCGGGUGGAGUGGUGAAAUGCGUAGAUAUCCGGAGGAAUACCAAAGGCGAAGGCAGUGUCCUGGCUGGUACCUGACGCUGAGGUGCGAAAGCUAGGGGAGCGAACGGG
rnacentral:rRNA from 1 species